GCAGUCAAUUUGCAUGGUUUUGUACCUCUUACAUCAGACGGUAAAUUCUAACACUUAGAUAUUCUCAUUUAUGUUAUUUUAUCUUUUGCUAACCAAUAUAACAUUCUUUAUAUUAAAUAUUUUGCAUUCAGGUUCAAAUGAUAGGGGGUCACCAGUGAUCCCACAAUACAUGCAGUAGCGACCGGCUCUCAGACACAGAGUCAUGGUCAAGGACCCGUUUUGCUCGCGGC
rnacentral:lncRNA from 1 species